rnacentral:rRNA from 1 species
AAGCGUUUAUGACCAGACUUUUUCCUAGUGGAUCAUCCGGUGUUCUCACCGGUGCACUUCGCUAGGUUUAGGCCAGCAUCGGUUUCCGUAGGGGGAUAAAAGCUUUAGGAAUGUGGCUCUUCGGAGUGUUAUAGCCUA